AACAGAUGUUUCCUCGGGGCCAAUCUUCCUCACAAAAAAGUAAUAAAAUAAAAUAUCCUAUUCAUUUUUUCCCCAGGAUUUCCCUGGUCCCAUCAACUUCUAUCAUCGACUCAUCACAUUGUUUAUCCUCUAUACUUGGGUCCCCACACCAUCACCAUGCAAUUUGAAUGUUUUGGAUAAGAACUCAAUCUCUGAAUUUUAGCUCAGUCUUCUUCCUCUUGGUCUACAGUAUGGUAUGGUAGUAAGAACAAGAACUUCAGAACUGAUGGUGUAGCUCAAACUUGAGCUCCACUAUGUGCCAUCUAUGGGACCUUUGGAAAGAUACUUCAGCUCUCUGUGUCUCAGUACUCUCAACUGCUUAAUUAGGGCAAUAACAGGAUCUUUGCCUCUUAGAGGAUAUUGUGAAGAUUAAAAUUAAUGCAUGUAAAGCACUUAAGUCAGUCCAUAGCAUAUAGUAAGUAUUUGGUGAUCAUUAAUAUUGUUAAUCUCCAUUAUCUUUUAUCUGACCAUUGUAGCAAGUACCACUACCUCUGUGCCUGAUUUUACUUAACUGGUUAGUAUUUGUCAGUAAGUUAAUUUGACAGAUCUCUGUUAAAAUCUGAGCAUGUAAAACUGAGAAAGGCAUCUCUGUUAUCAAUUCCAAACAAUGCUUGGACCUUACAUAUACCGAGUCCCUUAAUGAACCCAAUAUCACUAGCCUCAUCCUAUAGCACUAUGCCAGUUACAGGGGGCUCUUCAAACUUCUUUCUUUUGGCCUUUGUCUAUAACAAAUUGGACCUUUUAGUAGUAUGGUAUUCACAUGACCCAACCUGCAGUAUAUUAGAAUCUAUGAUAGAAUAAAGUAAUUUCUACUGAAAUUCACUGUCAUCACUUUGAUGUAAAAUGCAUUUCUUUACUUUCAAACCAUAUUUAGAAUGUCUUUUUGUUUGUUUUGAUCAACUUUUCAUUUGCCCUUGGCCCGAAUCGGCUUUGUAAUUUAUCUAAAUGUGCAAGGGAAGAAACAUUGUCGAAAUAACUCCAUUUUCUUCACAGUGAAAAUAGAUGUUGAAGUAAAACUUUAAUUUGAAAGGAGAAAUCGGAUUUAGUUUCUCAGUGUGAUCCUUUUUAGUGUUCUAUGCCGCUGGGUUUUCAAAUGUUAAUGUAAAAGUGAUGUGUGCAUGAUAAUAACAUCAUGAGUUCAUUCCCUCAGUCCUGGUCUUUGAGUUUAAAGCAUAUGGUCCCUGAAUAGACUGAGCUAAUUGGUGGCAGUCAGAGUGAAAGAGAGUUGCAGUGAUCCCUGACCAGGCUCAGCUGCCGCACUCCAUCCUCGUCAUCUGACUGACUUUUGUUUUAACCCUUCCAAUCUCUUUCUGCUACUUCUCAACCAUCAUUAUUUCAGUUUAAUCAUAUUAGUUGAAAGGUUCAUGAUACCAUGCCCUUGACAAGGCAUGGGUAGGGAAAAGAAAAGUAAGAAAAGGCUAAGAGAGGGGGGGAAACACUUAUAAAGAGUGGACUGAAAUGCAUGCUAUUUUUGAAGUACAGAGGUCUGUGUGCUUUUAUUUUCUCUUUUUUUUUAACUCCUCCAGACUCCUGAUUUUUAUUUUCAGUCCUGUGCCUCUUCCCUGUUCCUCACCGUGUGAGCCAUUGCUGCCUUCCAUGCUAAAUAAAUAAAUAAACAAACAAGCGACAGUGGCCUUGAUUCUUAUAUUCUCUUUCCUGUUAACUAUUGUGCAUAUUAUUUGAUAGAACAGAUGCUAUUUCUGAAUGGCAAUUUUGAAAAAAUUUAAUGUGCUCCUUGACGUUUUUCUUCUCUAGUUUCUGUUUUCUAUUCUUUUUCCCUCUAAAAAAAUUAAUUUACUAUAAUGUAGAAUAUCUUGAGUUUGCUUAGGACAAAUAUUAUUUCCUUUCUUGAACUGUAGAUUUCUGGUAAGAUCAAGGAUAUGCUGUCACAGUGUACAUGCUGUUUAUUUGCUGAUCUCAGGAAUUUUUGAUGUGUCAUUUCUUCCUUAUUCAUUUCCUUUGAGGUUUAUUUGCUUUUGGUAUAAAGAGCUGAACUAGGAUCAUAGAGUGUUGUGUUAAUUUUUGAUGCUGUUAGUUUUCUCAGAAGUUUUGAGCAGCCAAGAGUGGAAUAACUCCAUAGAAUAACUCCACGUUCAGAUGGUGAGAGUUUGGGGAGGGUCUUUUUAUAAAAUCAGUGUUGAAGUCAGUAAGUCAAUAUGGAAAUGGGAGCACAAAAUGGGCAAUUCAAUAAUUAAUGUUUGAAAUGCUUGUGAGUUACAAAUAAAGAUAAUAAUAGUAGUGGCUAACAUUCUUUAGAAGUUCAAGCAUGUUCUAGUCACUGUACUUCAUGUACUUUCUGUGUUAUCGCAUUUAGUUUUUAUAAUAAUCUUCCGAGGUGUAUAGUUAUAGGUGCCUUAAUUAUAAAUGAAAAAAACGGAAGAGCAGAGAAAUUAAAUUGCCUAAUACUGCAGAGCUAGUCAGUGACUAAAAGUUUAUUCAUACUCAAUUAGUUUCCAAUCUGGUGCUGGUAACCAAGCAGAACCCUUGUUCUGUGCCCCUCUCUGCCUCUGCAUAUGUCAUAUAUAAGGAAACUGAGUCUCAGUGAGAUUUCAUGGGUUUCACCACCUCAUAGAACAAUUUAGAACAAGGUUCCCAGACUUCUCUGUGCAUUAGAACCAACCAGGCAUUCUUUUAAAUAUUCCAAACUCAAUCCACACCCUAGAGUAGUUAAAUCACAAUCUCAGGGAGAAAGACACAGGCAUCUGGAAUUUCUGAAGCUCCCUUAUGGGAUUCUAAUGUGCAGACAAGUUUGGGAAACACUGAAUUAGAGAAAAUACUUGGAAAAAGCCAAACUGACCUCAUUCCUAAGCUGUUUUUUCGUUGUAUUGCUCACCCGCAGUUGGUUGGGGAUUCCCAAAAGAAUCUUUCUGCUUCAGCUGGUACUGAGAACUUGUGAUCUAGCUGACAUAUAACUGAGAACUUUACGUGGGUUGUCUCACUCAGUCCUCCCACAAAGUAUGUGAGAAAACUGAGGCUGAGAGAAUUAAAGCAACUUGCUCAAAGUUGUAGACCUAGUUAGUGGGGAGCCAGGAUUCCAAACUCAAGUUUGUUUGACUCAGAGGCUAGGAUGCUGGGACUCAGAGAAUAAUGUUGAUUGUCUCUAUUUUGAGGUCACUUUUCUUUGUUUCUAUCCUUAUAAUACCUGGGAGCCUAUUUGUGUUGUGGGUUUCUAACAUUUCUGUUUGCUGACUCUGGUUCCUCCUGAAGCUUUGAGGUGUGGGACAUCCACAUUUAGCAUUACUCUGGUUGCUUCCCAUGUUGAGAGUCUUAAUCACGCUAAAUGCUGUUUUAAGAGCCUUAGCUAUAUUUAGGUUCCAGCUGUUCUUGCUGAUGAAAAUGCUGGAGCACAGAAACUAUCUCUUUCUUGUGUUCCCCAUGUGGUUCAACUGAAAAAAAAAAAGAGAGAGA